UAUAUAUGUCAUAUUUAAAUAUGUAUAUUUAUAUAUAUACAAUGUCAAUGCUGAUAAGAUGCAGUGGCCCGCCUCCAAAGCAAACAGCUCUCGUGCAUUGGUGUGACCCGGUGUUAUGCCAGAAGUGGAACUGAGAGCUCGUAAACUCUACUGCUCUAGACAAAAUGGGGCGGCACUCAGUUUUCAACCCUGGAGUGUCGUGGUCACAACUUGAAGGCUUACCAUGUGCUGGGCACUAUACCAAACACUAUGUGUACAAGGUCGCUUAAUUUUUCUCCGUAACUAUGACUGAAGUCAGGUCCAUCUGCACCGUAUGUCCCUCUGUUGUUUUUGGGUGCUUGAAUUAGUUUGAGAAAGUUUCUGUUCUUUGCAGCCAAAUAUCCCUCACCAAGACAUCUACUAGUGAAAAGGGUUAACUGACAGUUGCUAACUAAACCACCCUCCUCCCUGAGCUAUGGGGAGCAGGUAAAAGCACACUAAAGAUUGGGAUGGAAAUAACAUGUGUAUAAGAGGUCAAUAAUGUAGCUUUGGCCCUUUUUCAAGAGGUGGGUUAACAAUAAAAUCCCACCGCGACAGUCCUUUACUUAAAGGCAGUACCUUUGCAGCAUGGUCCUAGAAGGGUCUGUUUCUUGGCCCCUGAGACGGACUAGCUCAGAGGCUUUGAACUUACGACGUCACCACCCGAGCCUCUGUGUCAUCACCAGCUGUAACCAUGGCACCUAUCCUCAUGAACAGUAGACUUUCAGCUUCCCACCGUCUCUUGCCCCCCACUUCUGGUAGCAGGAGCACACUCACCUUUUAGGGAAUUCCUUCUACUCUGCUGAAUUCUUGUCCUCGAGGAGCUGGCACUUAAGUACGGGAAGACAAACUGCUCGGCUUCAGACAAGCCCCUCCAUGGGGACAGCUGCUCUUUACACUUGGACAGAGUUUCUAAGUUUCCAAGAAACCCUCUUAGAAGUCAAGCAACUUACCCAAAGAUAUCCAGCUUGGACAUCUGAGUGCCCGCUGUUCCACUGUAUAUGUUACAGAAUUUUUGUCCCCUUAGCGCCUGUGGUUCUUGGUCAUGCCUCUUGGAAGAAUGAAGAGGUAGACCAGACGAAGAGUGGUGGGCAACAAAGCAAAGUUCAUUGAGCAAAGCAAAGUUCAUUAAGCUCCCAGAGAGGGA